CCCGAGUCAACUCCACCACUGCUGCCAGGAAUCCCGUCCCCAGCGAGGUAACUUCCUCUGAAUCACUGCUCUUCCUGGUCUUCUUGCCUUGCUUAUUACACGUGUGAUGUGUGCGUGCUUGCUGUUGUUGUGCUGCGUGUGUGCUUGCUUGUUGUGUGCGUACUUGCUGGCUUGUUGCUCGGUGCUUUGUCCGGGUGUUGGCUGCUGAUGGCCUGAUGUUGAUGCUUUGUUGUAAUAUUUGUAUAAUGUGUGUAUAUUCUAUGAAGCUACAAAGCUAUGUUUUGUUGUAUACUGACUUUGUUGCUUGCUGCGGUUGACCUGCUGAUGUUGCUACUGUGCUGGCCAGGGAGUGAGUCAAGUGACAUACAGACACAAGAAAUAUUCAGUUAUGAGGAUUGAAGAAAUUAAUGAUCAUUCAGUCAUUGAGGAUUUGAGAAGAGCCAUCAAUGCUCCAGUAGAGGUGUUAUUGAAGUUGUGGCUAUCAAUAGUCCUUUUAUUCAUGCUAAGUACAUGGUAAGGAAAUAAUGCUAUAUGAUUUGCAUAUCUUUUGCUAUGAGAACUUCUGCAACUGAAACUCAAAGUUUAGGUGUUGAACUCAUAGUUUUGCAGUAGUUAGUUUUGUACUACUUUGUAUCAAAAUUGCAUCAGACCAUGUUGCACUGUAUUUCGAGCAUAGAAAAAUUACUUAACACCUAAUUUUGCGCAAUUGGGUUCCUACAUUUUUCUGUUAUUAGGUGCAAUGACAGAGAUCAUCCAGUGGGAUGUUCUACUGCAUCGGAAUUUGACAAAUUUAAUUCUGCCAUUAUAUUCUUCCCUUCACUACUCAAGUUAACACCCCUCCUCCCAUUUAUUGGCCCAUAUGUUCAAGUAUGAAUCCACUCAUGGCCCCUUUAAAGGACCCACCAUGAUCGUGGAUGAUUCAGUAUUGGAGAUUAAUGCGAAAAGAUCACAACCAUGGGCGAAAGGUAAAUAUGCCAGGGUUAGCUAAUUGUUUGCCAUAUUAGUGCGGUUGAUAUAUAUGUCGCGGUUUCUAAAUAUGCAUGACAUGUUGUGCUGAAAUAAGGAUGUGUGAAGCAAUGAAGUCACCAAAGUAACAUUAUUAGUUAAUAAUUGAUUUAUAGUUUAGAGCCCCAUGUUUUUUGCACAUUCAUACGGACAUAUAAUAGCUUAUAAGCGCAUGCUUUUUGUACAUCUCGAGUACUGCUUGUUCCUUCUCUUAUUUUGAUUCUUAUGUUCACAUGUUGAUUUUUUGUCAUAGAGGGAAAGGAGAAGUCUGAAUGCGCCAACAAGUAGCGACCAAUGAGCUAUCGUCUAUGGAUUGGCUAAGGGAGGAGUUGUCUUGUGCUGCAAGGGCAUCUUGCAGAUCGAUUUCCUUGGUUUGAUGUGUC
rnacentral:lncRNA from 1 species